UUGUCUUUUUCCUUUGAAGUUUUGGGCAUAUU
rnacentral:scRNA from 1 species